rnacentral:lncRNA from 10 species
UUUGUUGCACUCAAUGAACAAAUCUUUGUUGUUUAUUUUAAAAUUCAAGACAAUUUUUUUGCAAAUGCUGAUUCAAAACGUACCAAUCCCCAUCUAUCAUGCCUAUGCCAAUACAAUCUGUCACAAAAAAGUUUGCUUCUCAUUGUCACAUAGCUAUGGGGACUGGUGGCCUUCUAAAAUCACUGUCCAGCUGCUGCAAGUGUGAGAAGCGGUAAGCUAGAGGAGACAGACGGCGUUGCCAUUAAAAACAAUUCAACUUCAUUUUAAUGUUGCUAUGUAAGUUCACAAUAAAAUCCCUGGAAGUUCAAAUUGGAAAGAGCAGUUUGGGGUCAUGGGCUCAACAAUAUAAAGGCAGAUUCAGUGAGGGGUAAGGGUAGUGGCUCUGGGGGCAGACUGACCUAGAUUUGAAUGCCAGUUGUACCAGACUCAAGACACCUUGGGUAAGUGGUUUUAUGAAGUACCUCAGUUCUUCAUCAGUAGAAAGAGUGCUAACACCUCCAUAAGACUUUU